CGGGCCAGCAAUACCAAUCUCAAUCUGCAAUUAAAAACAGUCAAAUUAAUUAUCUGGUUCUAUUGAAAUUAGCUGGUAUUCAAUGGAAAUUGUUGGCAAAACAAGGUGUCAAAUCGAUAUUGUUCAAGUGCGUAUCCUGAUGUAAAUGCCUUACCUUAGUAAUAUAUUUUAUCUUCUCAACUUCGUUCCACUGAAAACUUCCAACUGGGGUGAGAGUUUCGAUGUUAGCCCUUGGUGGAGCUUGACGUCUUCAUGCAGCACCCCCACCGCCAGCCAUUCAUUGCGAAUGGCCUUCAGCGUUGCCAGGUCAACAAGUACGAGAGCGGUAGAAUAAACAUAACAGCAGAUAGUAUUCAGUUCCUCCAAAUUUUUGUUUUUGAUUAUUCAGGCAGUAAAUUAUGAGUUCACAUUUUCGAAAAAAAGUUUUAUUGACAAUUUCAUCAUUUAUAUAGAGUAUUCCAAGCGUUUUAGCGGUAGAUUUUUGUAGGUUUACGGGAGAUCUACCCUAAAAACGGUAGACCUGGCUACCUGCCGGCCUGCCUUUUGUCUUUGACCAUUAAUGCGCCUGUACAGGAUUGCCAGCUUUUUCGAUUUGCAUUUGCGACACGUGAGCCUUUUUAUUGAGAUUUUUGGCUGUAUAAGCAGAUAAAAACGACAAAUUUAAUGUGAAAUAAAUAAUAACCUGAUUGAGACAUUUGAUAAUUAAUUUUUAUAUUUUUAUUCAAUAGUUUGAGCAUGCAACGUUGCAGUAUAGUUUAUUUACGUCUUUAUCGCACUCGUUGAAAGGUUAUAUAAUUCCUAGAAGGCGAUUAAGAACCCAUCUAGAUAAAAUUUUAUUGUCCCCAAUUGUAUUUCAGAAUUUUCCAGACACAAAUCUCAACCUCUGGCACCAGGACUAAUUAGUCUGAAACGUGGGGCAAUUUGUCCACAGAACAUACCCCCUAGGGGGGAUAUUUUGUGAAUUUGUCUUUAUCUAUCACUAGGGCCAAGCAUAUACUUUUACGUAAAAGUAGGUAAGGUAUAUGGGGCCAAGACUAAGCAAAUAUGUUUUCUAUUGUAACACGGCUGUAAACAUUUCAAAACGUGUGAUUUUCUCUGAAUGAUUUAUUAAGGGGCCGUUUCGACGUUUAGUGAUAUCUCGAACGAACUUUGUUACCUGGUUUCUCUAGCCAUUAACAAGCUGGAAAACCAUAGACAAUAAAAUAAAAUAAUGUUGAAAACAUUUGGGAUCGUAUGAUGAUAUUCCAAAUAUCUACUGCAAAAUGUGCACUUUUCUUUUAUUAGUGGUUCAGCAGUGAAAUGAAACAGGGACUUUGUUCCGUUAAUUUGUUUAUUUCUCGUUAAAUAUUUUUAACACGGUUUGGAACGUAUGUAUCUACCCUACGACUAAGAUAUCUUUCAAACUACAUUUUAUAUACAAUAAUAGAAUAUUAUUUGACGUGGUCUGUUUGAAAAUCAACAGAUAAAAGUGAAAUUAAAGCAUACUAUGGACAGUUGCGCGAAUAUUCAGCAUAACUGGAAAUCGAAUGCUUGCUAUGCCAGCUCCAAUUAACAUACUUCUAAACAAUAAGCCAACGAAUUUCAGGAUUAUCUAAUACUGGAAUGUCUCAAUAAAAGGCUGCAUAAGUUUUUAGCGAAAAGGGGACCAUUCAACUAUUUAAGUAUAAUUACAUUAUUUUUCACGUAUCCUUGUAAGUUUGUCUGUCUGCAUGUACUGAUGAUUUAGUGAAUAGUGCUUAUGCAGAAGCUCCCAUGCUGCCUUUAGAAGUC